GAUGAAGAACGUAGCGAAAUGCGAUAAGUAAUGUGAAUUGCAGAAUUCAGUGAAUCAUCGAAUCUUUGAACGCACCUUGCACCCUUUGGCUAUUCCGAAGGGUAUGCCUGUUUGAGUAUCAUGAACACCUCAACUCUCAUGGUUUGCCAUGAUGAGCUUGGACUUUGGGGGUCUUGCUGGCCUGUGGUCAGCUCCUCUCAAAUGGAUUAGCUUGCCAGUGUUUGGUGGCAUCACAGGUGUGAUAACUAUCUACGCUUGUGGUUUUCCACCAGGUAACCUUCAGCAAUGGGGGUUCGCUGGGGCUCUUAAAUGUCUCUCCUCAGUGAGGACAGCUCUUUGAACGUUUGAUCUCAAAUCAGGUAGGACUACCCGCUGAACUUAAGCAUAUCAAUAAGCGGAGGA
rnacentral:misc_RNA from 1 species